CCUACGGGAGGCUGCAGUGGGGGAUAUUGGACAAUGGGGGAAACCCUGAUCCAGCGACGCCGCGUGAGUGAAGAAGUAUUUCGGUAUGUAAAGCUCUGUCAGCAGGGAAGAAAGAAAUGACGGUACCUGACCAAGAAGCCCCGGCUAACUACGGGCCAGCAGCCGCGGUAAUACGUAGGGCGCAAGCGUUAUCCGGAAUUACUGGGUGUAAAGGGAGCGUAGACGGUGAUGCAAGUCUGGAGUGAAAGGCGGGGGGCCAACCCCCGGACUGGUGUGGAAACUGUGUAACUUGAGUGCAGGAGAGGUAAGCGGAAUUCGUAGUGUAGCGGUGAAAUGCGUAGAUAUUAGGAGGAACACCAGUGGCGAAGGCGGCUUACUGGACUGUAACUGACGUUGAGGCUCGAAAGCGUGGGGAGCAAACAGGAUUAGAUACCCUGGUAGUC
rnacentral:rRNA from 1 species